UACCAGCACCCCGAGUGGUCGGGACGAUUAUUGGGCCUAAAGCAUCCGUAGCCGGUCCUACAAGUCUUCCGUUAAAUCCACCUGCUCAACAGAUGGGCUGCGGAAGAUACUAUAGGGCUAGGAGGCGGGAGAGGCAAGCGGUACUCAGUGGGUAGGGGUAAAAUCCUCUGAUCCAUUGAAGACCACCAGUGGCGAAGGCGGCUCACUGGCCCGAUACUGACGCUGAGGCACGAAAGCGUGGGGAGCAAACAGG
rnacentral:rRNA from 1 species